AUGUAGCUCAGUGGUACAGCACUUGCCUGGCAAGUAUGAGGCCCUGGGUUCAAGCCCUAGUAU
rnacentral:tRNA from 1 species